AUUGAACGCUGGCGGCAGGCCUAACACAUGCAAGUCGAGCGAGCGGCGGACGGGUGAGUAAUGUCUGGGAAACUGCCUGAUGGAGGGGGAUAACUACUGGAAACGGUAGCUCAUACCGCAUACCAUCAGAUGUGCCCAGAUGGGAUGAGCUAGUGGGUGGGGUAACGGCUCACAUAGGCGACGGUCCCUAGCGUGGCUGGGUGGAUGACCAGCCCCACGGGCACUGAGACACGGCCCAGACUCCUACGGGAGGCAGCAGUGGGGAAUAUUGCACAAUGGGCGCAAGCCUGAUGCAGCCAGGCCGCGUGUGUGAAGAAGGCCUUAGGGUGGUAAAGCACUUUCAGCGGGGAGGCGUUACCCGCAGAAGAAGCACCGGCUAACUCCGUGCCAGCAGCCGCGGUAAUUC
rnacentral:rRNA from 1 species